rnacentral:rRNA from 1 species
CCUACGGGAGGCAGCAGUGGGGAAUAUUGGACAAUGGGCGAAAGCCUGAUCCAGCCAUGCCGCGUGUGUGAAGAAGGCCUUCGGGUUGUAAAGCACUUUCAGUGGGGAAGAAAGCCUUGGGGCUAAUACCCUCGAGGAAGGACAUCACCCACAGAAGAAGCACCGGCUAACUCCGUGCCAGCAGCCGCGGUAAUACGGAGGGUGCGAGCGUUAAUCGGAAUUACUGGGCGUAAAGCGCGCGUAGGCGGUCUGAUAAGCCGGUUGUGAAAGCCCCGGGCUCAACCUGGGAACGGCAUCCGGAACUGUCAAGCUAGAGUGCAGGAGAGGAAGGUAGAAUUCCCGGUGUAGCGGUGAAAUGCGUAGAGAUCGGGAGGAAUACCAGUUGCGAAGGCGGCCUUCUGGACUGACACUGACGCUGAGGUGCGAAAGCGUGGGUAGCAAACAGGAUUAGAUACCCCAGUAGUC